GCGGAGGUGUCGGAAUUGGCAGACGAGCAAGACUAAGGAUCUUGUGGCGGUUACGUCGUGUGGGUUCAAGUCCCAUCCUCCGCA
rnacentral:tRNA from 1 species